CCUACGGGAGGCAGCAGUGAGGAAUAUUGGUCAAUGGGCUUACGCCUGAACCAGCCAAGUCGCGUGAGGGAAGACUGCCCUAUGGGUUGUAAACCUCUUUUGUCAGGGAGCAACGCCGGCUACGUGUAGCCGGACUGAGAGUACCUGAAGAAAAAGCAUCGGCUAACUCCGUGCCAGCAGCCGCGGUAAUACGGAGGAUGCGAGCGUUAUCCGGAUUGAUUGGGUUUAAAGGGUGCGUAGGCGGAAUGCCAAGUCAGCGGUAAAAUCGCGGGGCUAAACCUCGCUCCGACGUUGAAACUGGCGUUCUUGAGUGGGCGAGAAGUAUGCGGAAUGUGUGGUGUAGCGGUGAAAUGCAUAGAUAUCACGCAGAACUCCGAUUGCGAAGGCAGCAUACCGGCGCCCAACUGACGCUGAAGCACGAAAGCGUGGGUAUCGAACAGGAUUAGAUACCCUGGUAGUC
rnacentral:rRNA from 1 species